CUAGUACUCACUCCAUCCGGAGAUACUCGUCGAAGGAAUGAAUGUAUCUAGAUGUAUUUUAGUGUAGAUACAUUUAUUUUUCUGCAUUUUUCGAUUAGUAUUUUCGGACGGAGGAAGUACUUG
rnacentral:pre_miRNA from 1 species